rnacentral:rRNA from 1 species
CGCAUGGUCCUCUGGGAAAGCUUUUGCGGUAUGGGAUGGGGUCGCGUCUCAUCAGCGUGAUGGCGGGGUAACGGCCCACCAUGGCUUCGACGGGUAGCCGGCCCGAGAGGGCGACCGGCCACAUUGGGACUGAGAUACGGCCCAGACUCCUACGGGAGGCAGCAGUGGGGAAUAUUGCACAAUGGGCGCAAGCCCGAUGCAGCGACGCCGCGUGCGGGAUGACGGCCCUCGGGUUGUAAACCGCUUUUGACUGGGAGCAAGCCCUUCGGGGUGAGUGUACCUUUCGAAUAAGCACCGGCUAACUACGUGCCAGCAGCCGCGGUAAUACGUAGGGUGCAAGCGUUAUCCGGAAUUAUUGGGCGUAAAGGGCUCGUAGGCGGUUCGUCGCGUCCGGUGUGAAAGUCCAUCGCUUAACGGUGGAUCCGCGCCGGGUACGGGCGGG